GUGAGAAGAGUUAAGAACGCAUCACACGACGAACGCGAGAGUCGUUUUUUUUUAUAAUAUCCAAAACUUAUUGUAAGAAGGCCAGCAGACGACAAAGAAGUUAGUCUUGGAGACAGGUGGAACCCGGCGUACAUUUCCUUACAUAAAAUCAAUUUCUGAGGUCACGCUAUGGUACCUGUACAAUAUGUUUAUAGAUACGUUGUUUUUAUAUGUUUGUUGAAUAUAUAUCCAGUGCCAGUGGUCAAAGCUAGCGACAAUUCUAUCAAAAUGUGCAAUUCAACUAAAACAGAUCAAGUAAAUUGCACAAGGAAUUCCUCCGUUUCGCAAAAUAAUACAAACAAACCGAAGAAAAGUUUCUCAAUUCCUCAAGAAAUAUUAAUAACAACAAUGGUGAUCUCCACAGUGGGUGUCCUAACAAAUGGUCUUCUUAUUGUUGUUAUUGUGAAGGAUCCUUUAAACAAACUAAGACGAGGACCGUGGAUUACUAUCUUAAGCUUAUCUAUAGCUGAUUUCACUGCAUCUUUGUCUCAAUUCAUGAUUGUUGGAUUGGGUAGAUUGUUCGAGGUCAAACCAUCAAAAGCUGUCAUUUAUUCUGUCCUUUUCUUUUGGAUGUUUGGGGCUGCGGGCUCAUUUUUUCACUUGACAUCACUCACAUGGCAAACUUACGUGAUUGCAAAGUAUCCCAAA